UACGGAGGGUGCGAGCGUUGUCCGGAAUCACUGGGCGUAAAGGGCGCGUAGGCGGCAUGCCAAGCGUGUGGUGAAAGCCCGGGGCUCAACCCCGGGUCGGCCGUGCGGACUGGCGUGCUCGAGCACUGUAGGGGCGGGUGGAAUUCCGGGUGUAGCGGUGGAAUGCGUAGAGAUCCGGAAGAACACCGGAGGCGAAGGCGGCUUGCUGGGCGUAGUCUGACGCUGAGGCGCGAAAGCGUGGGGAGCGAACAGG
rnacentral:rRNA from 1 species